AUAGCACAGCCAUAUCACUUAUUAUUGUACUUCAUUAUGUACUUAAUACCUCUAUUGAAGGAUGACAUAGUGUUAACAUCAUUCUAAACAGAAAGGCAUAUAAAGGUGAUGGACUAUAGGAAUGCAUCAGAAGCUCCAUUUUGAAGUAUGUCGAUUCCUUCCCUUUCAAAGGAAGCCAUCUGCUGUUGGUUGAAGUAUUCCGAUUCCUUCCCUUACAUUGGAAGUCAUCUGCUGGUGGUUGAAGUAUGCUGAUUCCUUCCCUUUCAUAGGAAGUCAUCUGCUGUUGGUUGCAGUAGGCUGAUUCCUUCCCCCUUUCAUAGGAAGCCAUCUUCUGUUGGUUGAAAUAUGCCGAUUCCUUCCCUUUCGUAGGAUGCCAUCUUCUGUUGGUUGAAAUAUGCCGAUUCCUUCCCUUUCAUAGGAAGCCAUCUUCUGUUGGUUGAAGUAUUCCGAUUCCUUCUCUUUCAUAGGAAGCCAUCUUCUGUUGGUUGAAAUAUGCCGAUUCCUUCCAUUUCAUAGGAAGCCAUUUUCCGUUGGUUGCAUCAUGGUAGCACCAACAAACGAGC